CCUACGGGGGACAGCAGUGAGGAAUAUUGGUCAAUGGGCGCGAGCCUGAACCAGCCAAGUCGCGUGAGGGAGGACGGCCCUACGGGUUGUAAACCUCUUUUGCCGGGGAGCAACGGGCGUCACGUGUGGCGUCACUGAGAGUACCCGGAGAAAAAGCAUCGGCUAACUCCGUGCCAGCAGCCGCGGUAAUACGGAGGAUGCGAGCGUUAUCCGGAUUUAUUGGGUUUAAGGGGUGCGUAGGCGGAUCGUUAAGUCAGUGGUCAAAUUGAGGGGCUCAACCCCUUCCCGCCAUUGAAACUGGCGAACUUGAGUGGAAGAGAGGUAUGCGGAAUGCGUGGUGUAGCGGUGAAAUGCAUAGAUAUCACGCAGAACCCCGAUUGCGAAGGCAGCAUGCCGGCUUCCGACUGACGCUGAGGCACGAAAGCGUGGGGAGCGAACAGGAUUAGAUACCCUUGUAGUC
rnacentral:rRNA from 1 species